AGGUUUGUGACACUUGGAAGCGCGGGACGGUGCCAGUUUGCCAGAGGCAUAUUUUGAGUGUGUCAGCUAUCAGAAACGCUCCAGUGUUUCGGGGAUGGCAUCAGCUCGGGGUGGGUGAGGCUCUCUGGACGGAUGGACCUGCGGGUUUGAUCUGCCUGGAUCAGCCACAUACUGUUUGACAGGCUCAUGGAAAUGCAAACAGACAAGAGUAAGAGUCAGAGGAUGUGAAAAACUAACUUUUGCCGUGAUGUAAACACUAGAUCAAUCCCUGCUCUGAAUCCAUCUGUUUAUCAGCACUUGUUGAUGGAGGGCAGCAGAUUCCGGAUUUAGAAGAAAACCUUUAUCGAGUCCCACUGCCCUUGAAACGGAUGACAUCGAUUGGGCUCCAGAAGAGUCCCGACCCCUCCUGUCCUGGAGGACGAUCAAUGGACCCUCGGGCCGCUCCUGGAACAUCAGCAGAGGAUUAAACAAUCUCCCAGCACAACACAAUUAACUCCACUACACCUCGCGUCAAUACCUAAGAGCAAACUACACACACCACAGAGAAAACACUUCCAAUUUUGUAUAUCGCAUGGCAAUAUUAAAGCAAUAGUACACCAAAAAAAAUGACAAUUUGCUGGAAAUCUGCUCACUAUCAGGUCAUCCCAGAUGCAGUUGAGUUUGUUUCUCCAUCAGAACAGAUUUGGAGAAAUUUAGCAUUAAAUCAUUUGCUCACCAAUGGAUCCAUUGAAGUGAAUGGGUGCCGUCAGUAUCUGAAUGUUUAAACAUUCAGAUGUCACCCCGCCCACCCACACUUUCUAAUCGUUAGCGUUCAUAUUUAACUGUAGUUUAAUUACUUAAUUGUGAUUAAAUUACGUAACUCCGCUACAUGUAACUAGUUCCUCAAAACACGGAGUAUAACGUAAAAAUAGUAUCGAUUUAUUUAACAUACUGUUGCAUCUGUCGUUUUACAAGAUUGAGAACAGCAAAAAAAAUGUUUAUGUGUGUGAGUUGGUCGUGAUCUGUGGUGUGUGUGUGUGUGUGUGUGUGUGUAAACAAAGGUAAAAUUGAGAAAAAUAAAAGCGCUUUUAUACAGAUCAGACAGAGAAACCUCUUUGUUUUGGGUCCGGAUCAAACGGGAGCUCUUGAAAGACGUGCAGACAGUGUUUUAUUAAACAGGGCUCCGGAGCAGCAUUGCUUCUCUCCAAAGCGCUAUUCUCUCCUAAUAGAGAACUGAAAGCCACCGCGACCUCUAAGUUAACCUCCGUUGAGACAUAGCGCUCCACAGAUGCUCCUAGAAAAGAUAUCUGACCUUGUAGUUCACCUCUUUGCAGAUUUACAGGACAUCGACUGUGUGUGUGCGGUCACCUAUAACCUCUGGUUGGCGAGAUGUUUGUCUGUGAAUGUUGACAGCUUUUGCUAUUCUUAUAGGGUUUGCUUAAAGACAAAGAAACAGUAUUGAGUGUUACCCGUAGAAAAUAGUAAAUUCUCACUGCUUAACUGCGGUUUUUGGUUUCUGCAAUGGUUUAGCAUCCAUGCCAUGCAACUACACUAAAUGCAUCUCUAGCGUAUAACACCCUUGAGGUUUGAAUCAGGCUUUUUAAAUGAGUGUAGCUGCACUGUCUGCUCAUUUAUGCCCUUUAAUCUGCGUCCUCUGGGUGUUAGUAUGUGCACUGCUGUGAGCCUACUAAGUGAGCAGGGUUAUUGUGGAUAACUAAAACUAGAACUAUAAAAUGUUGCUUGAAACACUAUUACAACUUAUUUUAUUUCAGCUAGAUUUUUCCCAAGGCAACAUUUCUUCUUUUCAUUUAGUUUCGAAGGAAAAGUUCACCCAAAAACAUACCCUAUAAAUGAGUUUAUUU